UAUCCAGGUUGUUUUUCCGAUGUUCGAUCGGACACGUUGCUGAUGGAACUGUUUUCAAGAGCUGCAGCCUCGUGAAAUGAAUGGCAAAUGUAUUUUGAUUUAGCCUUCCAGGGCAUCGGUGGACAAGAGCAAGCUUCCAGUGGGACAUCCAGAUAUGACUGUGUGAAGCUGGUUUCAGUCAUUACCCUCUGACCCCUGACCUGGCAAUGCAUUGUGGGCACCCCAUGGUCUACUUCUAGGGCCAAUGGGACCCUGGAUGUUUUUCUCGAUCAGCUGAAUAUUGAGCGUUGAUGGCAUUGUUAAAACACUGUACUUUUGCCUGCUAAACUGCUGUAGUGUAUAUAAUAUUUUUCAUGUGCCUCAUGAUUCCAUGAAGGGUUUCUAUGACUUUGAAAGUCUAGACUAGAGCUAACAAUGACAUUGUAUGUAUUUCCUGGACCUGUCUGGUUUUAAACCUGGACAGUGCAUUCAGCUGCUAUGAUUGUCAUACAUAUGUUUAAUAUAUAGGUCUUUCAAAACUCGUAUUUUAUUAUAAGCCACAAAAUAAACAAUUAGGGUUCAAUAA